GACGUAGGGGGCCAGCGUUGCUCGGAAUUACUGGGCGUAAAGCGUGCGCAGGCGGUUCGUUGUGUCGGCGGUGAAAGCCCCGGGCUUAACCUGGGAAUGGCCGUCGAAACUGGCGAACUGGAGUGUGGCAGAGGGGGGUGGAAUUCCGCGUGUAGCAGUGAAAUGCGUAGAGAUGCGGAGGAACACCGAUGGCGAAGGCAGCCCCCUGGGCUGACACUGACGCUCAGGCACGAAAGCGUGGGGAGCAAACAGG
rnacentral:rRNA from 1 species